rnacentral:rRNA from 1 species
UGUUGUGAGCUCGAUGAGUAGGGCGGGACACGUGGUAUCCUGUCUGAAUAUGGGGGGACCAUCCUCCAAGGCUAAAUACUCCUGACUGACCGAUAGUGAACCAGUACCGUGAGGGAAAGGCGAAAAGAACCCCGGCGAGGGGAGUGAAAAAGAACCUGAAACCGUGUACGUACAAGCAGUGGGAGCCCCACCACUAAGCCAGUGGUGAACUCCACAUACGCAUCCUUUGCUGAGGAUACGGUUAACGGAGCGCAAGCGACGUUCAACCGCAAAAGAAGCAGAGGGGGCUUAGUGGUGGGGUGACUGCGUACCUUUUGUAUAAUGGGUCAGCGACUUAUAUUCUGUAGCAAGGUUAACCGAAUAGGGGAGCCGGAGGGAAACCGAGUCUUAAUUGGGCGUUAAGUUGCAGGGUAUAGACCCGAAACCCGGUGAUCUAGCCAUGGGCAGGUUGAAGGUUGGGUAACACUAACUGGAGGACCGAACCGACUAAUGUUGAAAAAUUAGCGGAUGACCUGUGGCUGGGGGUGAAAGGCCAAUCA